rnacentral:misc_RNA from 1 species
GGGAAUAAUUACAGAACUGAUAUACCAUGAUAUCAAGAUAAUGUCAGUCAGCAUCAAUUGCUUGAUAACACUGUGGAGGAGGCAUCCGAUACGCACCAGAAUUAGCCCACGCAACUGACCCCCAGAUUGCACCCAGCGCAAUGAAAAAGUGGAGGAGAAAGGAAAGGGAAAAGCGGGAAAAUAAUUUCUAUAACAGCUAGUAGAACAGUUGGGAAUCUGCGCAGAAUUCAAACAGGUUUGCUGUAAAAGCUUAUACUACUGGCGUCCUUUUAUACCUGCCCCUGAAUUUGUUUAAGUUCCUGUGAGUCAUUAGCUUCGUCAACAGUUUCUCUGAUUUCCAGCAUCUCAGUCAGCAACUCUACGUCAUCAAUCUUCUCCUCUUCAUCCACAUGCACGCCUUCCAACUUCAGAAUGUAUAUUGCCCUUGACAAUGGAUCAGUUAGUGUGCGGUAAGCAUCAAUGACACGAGCAGAUUGUUCAGCAGCAUACUCCCUUUCUUUCUGAGAUUUCGUGUGAACCAAGUCCGGAUGUAGCUUCCUCUGCCAGUCUUUAUACUUGCGC